rnacentral:lncRNA from 1 species
AGGAAUUGAAGUUGACUUUAGAAACCCAAUAAAAGGCCUCUGGAAAAGACUGGCAUGAUACAUUUUUACAUGGUUCUCUUACAAGGUUCCUGACCUUAUGAUAAGUAAAGAAUAUCACUUUCUGACAGGUCCAGGAACCUCAAGAUAUUUUGGGACCUCAAGAAGAGAGGACUUUACCCAAUUCAUAUAGGUAUUACAGGCACAACCUGACAGCAAAUCCUUGGCUUGUUUUCCUAGCCUCAAGAGGCUUUUAAAAAUCUAAUUUGAGAUUCCUUAUGAAAAAGUUCUAGCAAAGCCAACUUAAAGGAGCCUAUAUGGCCAUUCAUUAUUCUUGUUACACUUUAUACAAAUAAUCAGGCCAAGAGCACUACUAAAACUUAUUUUGCAAAUAAAUUGAUCAGACUAAGAAUUAUCCUUGGUUUACAUGGGGAACUGGAGAGAGAAAAAUAAUGUUUCAGAAGAAAACUAUAGCACACCUGCUAUUAGAUUCCAGCACUGACUACUGUUUUUGAGUUUUUAUGAUUUUCCUAUAUUUUAGACUAAAUCCAGAAUUAUUUCCUAUCUAUGAGUCUCUAAAGGACAAGGGUUUAAUUUUCUUCAGGAUGUUUUCAGUGUACUCACCAGUGGAACAGGUUUCCUUUUUCAUUUUGGAAUACAUGUUCUCUUUUUGUAAUGGUAAUCCUUACUUGCAAUAUGUAUCUCUCACUGUUUUACUGCUUCUGAGAAAAUUAAAGUCAUAAUAUUCUAAAGACCAGGAUGAUUCAAUAAGUGACAGCAACUAUAUAAAUAAGUUGACUGAGAUUUGGCUGAAGUCUCAUUUUUGCCACCCUGUGAUACCAUUCCAAUUCAGCUUUAGGCACACUUAAAAUUUCUUACUGAGAUGUAUUCUCUCCCCUGCCCCUUCCCCACACGCCCACCUGAGUGGGACAGAACCAUUUGGGAAUGAACCUUCCUUAUGAUAUAGGACUAAGGAGUCAAAAUGCUUUUAGUUCAUCUACUAUGCUUUCUUCAAAACAUCUUGAUGAAAUGGAGGGAAAUGAGAAAACUCAGAUCAGGCUGAGCUAUGUGAGGUAUGCAAAAUUUAUCCAACCCAGAGAGCCAUGAGUUGGAGACUUUUGAUCAUGCCCCUCCUCACAGCAUCCAUGCCCAGGGUAGUUUUUUAAAGGCAUUUUUGUUCCUAAUUAGCUGCCUCUACCAUUAUCUUCAUGUUCUUGGAAUCUGUGAUACAAAGAACCAUGAAUAGCCAAUCAAUACAUUACUUUAAUGUAUAUUCUUAGCAAAAACUUAAAAACUGCUUCUUUUUUCCUUUCAAGACCCACUUGUAACUACUGCUAAUUGGACUGUAUAUCCAGGGCAACUUGAAUCUACACUCCUGAGUGGCCAUCUUCAAGCUCUGAGCUCAAAUAAACUCUGUACUUAAUCAUAUUUUCUGAAUCUCAUUAUUUAAGGCUGACAUUAUUACCUAUUACACCUCUUUCCCUUACUCAAUGUUUCACAAUUUUGUUUCCUUUCUAUUUCCCAAACAUGCCAAACUUGGCCCCACCUUAGGUUUUCUACUUCCUUUUCUCUUUGCCAGGAUUGUUCUCUUGCCUCCCUACUCCCACUAAGAGAUUUUCUUGGCUGGUUCUUUCUGAUUUGUAUUUUAGUUUCAAUGUUCCCUCUGAAGACAGAACAUCAUUCUCUUACCUCUUGCUUCCUAUUGCCCCAUACUCUCUAUUACACCCCUAUGUUUGGGGUGUUUUUGUAAUAUUUUCAUUAUCUGAUGUUUGAUUAUUUGUUUAUUACAUACUUAUUGUCAUCUCCCUGAUAGAGGCAGCAGGCAGACAAAUUACCUAGGCAGAUAGGGAAGGGUCCCUGGUGAAACAUCACCUUCAAGCCUAAAACAGCCUGAAGGCUGAAAGACAUGACUGCUGGUUCCAACUGAAACCUGUGACCCAGAGGGACAACUUCUGCCCCUGUUUGCCCGCUCUUUCCUGAUUGAUUCUUUCUGAAUAAUGCCUUUUAACCAAACGAAUGUUGCCUUUUCCAAUACUACCUAGGGCUAUACUACCCCUUUCUUUGCUGAGAGUUUUCCUUUCACUUAAUAAAUUCUGCCCUUUUCACACUUCAGUGUAUCCACAUGCCUAAUUUUUCCUGGUCAUGAGAAAAGAACCCAGAUUUAGUUGAACUAAGGAGCAAAAAUCCUGCAUCAUCCCCAAUCCAGUAGAAUGUUGGUCUGUAAAAGCAGAUUUUUUUUGUGGGUGUAUGUACAUCUCUGAAUUACUUCAUCUAUAACAAUUACUGGAAUAUUGACCAAGCCAGUAUUGGAUAAUAGUGACCUGACAUCUAUCUAUCUAUCUAUCUAUCUAUCUAUCUAUCUAUCUAUCUAUCUAUCUAUCUAUCUACCUACCUACCUACCUAGAUAGAUAGAUAGAUAGAUAGAUGUCAGGAAAAGAGGCUCAGAGAGUUUAUAUAACUGCCCCAAGAACACAAGUAAGAGGUGCAGAACUAAGAUGUAAGCUAAGUUAUUUCAGACCCAUGUAGAACCAUGUUUAUAACCAUAGAGAUACAGAGAAUAAAUGUAUUGGCCCAAUUCACAGAAAGCUGAGAGUGUAGAAAAUAUACUAAAUAAAAGAGGCUCAAAUGAUAUUGGGCUAUAUUUCCACCUCUUACUUUUCUAUUGGCCAGAAGCAGACUAGCUGCCUCCAAUGUCCCCACUUUUCUGGAUGCUCCAAUAGUCCUUGACAUGCUUUGUGUUUACAGCAGGUACAGGUCAAAGACAUGUUAUGAGCCCUGAGCAUACUGAAUGGCCACCAUUUCUAAUCUGGAGGUAACAAAGCUCCCCCAGUUCCAUUUUAUAUAGCAGAUGGAAGAAGAGAACAAGAAGUAUCAGGCAGUAGAAGGCAUAAGAAAUCAGUGGCUUGACUUGAACCUAUGUUUGCCUUUUCAGUCCACAUGGCACUUUCUGAAAUACAGAUACCUAAAUUUCAGAAUUGGAAUGUGACUGCUAAUUCAUAUUUGAAGCUCAAAGUUGUAAAAGACCAAUGAAUUUAGCUAUUCUGAAACUUCACAGAACGGUAAUUAUGAAAUCCACUAGCCACAUAUCUAGUCAUCCAUCCAACAAAGAAAAAGAAAACUUGACCCAAGGAAAUGUACAAUCCAUUUGGUGAAGACAGAAAUUAAACAAUGAAUUCAUUGUAAUCGUGAUAUAUUUUAUUUGAAAGAAAAAACAAAACUUUUAUAGGAGCUAUAACAAGAGCACCUAACUUUGUCCAAAGCCAAAGAUUGGAGGUCAGCGAAAAAUUCUUUGAAGAAAAGAUGUUUAAGCCAUUGCCUGAGAGAUGAGCAGGCAGAAGUCAGGAGAAGAGCCAUGGAAAGUAUAACCAGGCAAGAAGGGCAGCUUGUGCCUGAACAUGAGACAGAGUCAAAGCCAGGAAGGCGAGCAAUAUCAAGAAUGAUGCUGGAGAGGUUGGCAAGUGAAAUGUUGAAGGAUUGUAAGCAGGACCCUGACAUGAUGAGAUUUGAAUAUUGAAGGGCUCACUGUGGCUUCUAUAUGCAAAAUGCAACAGAGGAGAGAGAGAGGCUGCAUUCAGAAUAGAGCUAAAAUGUAAAAUUCCCACCCUCCCUCAGUUCCUAAAGAAAAAUAACUUUGUAAGUUUUAUUCUUUCAUGAUCUCAUAUACCAGCAUUAUAGUUCUGCCUUUUAGAAUAUAUAUUACUUGACUCUGUACUUAAGAAAAAUAUGCCUCAUUUUAAGCAAACUCUCAUUGUAUAGAAAAGAUAAAUGGGAGAGAAAUGAAUAGUUCAAUCUUUGUGUUAUGAACUGAAUUGUGUACCCGACAAAACUCAUAUGUUGAAGUCCUAACCCCCAAUACCUCAGAAUGUGACUGUAUUUGUAAUUACCCCUUUAAAGGGGUAAUUAAGUUAAAAUGAGGCCAUUAGGGUGGGCCCUAUUGCAAUAUGACUUGGUGCUCUUAAGAGAUUAAGACACAGGCAUGCACAGAAGGAAGACCAUGUGAGGACAGAAGGGGAACACAGCCAUUUACAAGCCAAGAAGAAAGGUGUCACAAGAAGCCAGCUAUAAAGACAUCUUGACCUCUGACUUCUAGCCUCCAAAAUUGUGAGAAAAUAAAUUCAUGUUGUAUGAGCCACUGUUCCGUGACAUUUUGUUAUGACAGACCUAGGAAACUAAUAUACUUUGUACGAACACAUCCUUUGUUUAAAGAAAAAAAUAUCACUGUAGGUCUUCUUGGAAAUAUGUGCUCUUAAUGAAUUUGAAAUGCAUUUAUUUCCCAGCAAGAGUCCAA